AUUGAACGCUGGCGGCAGGCCUAACACAUGCAAGUCGAACGAGUGGCGGACGGGUGAGUAAUGUCUGUGAAACUGCCCGAUGGAGGGGGAUAACUACUGGAAACGCUAGCUCUUAUCGCAUACCAUCGGAUGUGCCCAGAUGGGGUUAGCUAGUAGGUGGGGUAACGGCUCACCUAGGCGACGAUCCCUAGCUGGUCUGAGAGGAUGACCAGCGACACUGGAACUGAGACACGGUCCAGACUCCUACGGGAGGCAGCAGUGGGGAAUAUUGCACAAUGGGCGCAAGCCUGAUGCAGCCAUGCCGCGUGUAUGAAGAAGGCCUUCGGGUUGUAAAGUACUUUCAGCGAGGAGGCGUUACUCGCAGAAGAAGCACCGGCUAACUCCGUGCCAGCAGCCGCGGUAAUAC
rnacentral:rRNA from 1 species